GACGAACGCUGGCGGCGUGCUUAACACAUGCAAGUCGAACGCUGAAGCCUAGCUUGCUGGGUGGAUGAGUGGCGAACGGGUGAGUAACACGUGAGUAACCUGCCCCCUUCUUUGGGAUAACGCCCGGAAACGGGUGCUAAUACUGGAUAUUCACUGAUCUUCGCAUGGGGGUUGGUGGAAAGGUUUGUUCUGGUGGGGGAUGGGCUCGCGGCCUAUCAGCUUGUUGGUGGGGUGAUGGCCUACCAAGGCUUUGACGGGUGGCCGGCCUGAGAGGGUGACCGGUCACAUUGGGACUGAGAUACGGCCCAGACUCCUACGGGAGGCAGCAGUGGGGAAUAUUGCACAAUGGGCGAAAGCCUGAUGCAGCGACGCCGCGUGAGGGAUGGAGGCCUUCGGGUUGUAAACCUCUUUCGCUCAUGGUCAAGCCGCAACAGUGGUUGUGGUGAGGGUAGUGGGUAAAGAAGCGCCGGCUAACUACGUGCCAGCAGCCGCGGUAAUACGUAGGGCGCGAGCGUUGUCCGGAAUUAUUGGGCGUAAAGGGCUUGUAGGCGGUUGGUCGCGUCUGCCGUGAAAUCCUCUGGCUUAACUGGGGGCGUGCGGUGGGUACGGGCUGACUUGAGUGCGGUAGGGGAGACUGGAACUCCUGGUGUAGCGGUGGAAUGCGCAGAUAUCAGGAAGAACACCGGUGGCGAAGGCGGGUCUCUGGGCCGUUACUGACGCUGAGGAGCGAAAGCGUGGGGAGCGAACAGG
rnacentral:rRNA from 1 species